rnacentral:lncRNA from 1 species
AGGCCACACCAAUUUGAUUCCUUGUUCGACGUACCCGCCCACACCUAUUUUUCUCAAAACAGAUUUUUUUUAUUUUUUUUAUAUUCCCGCUUCCCGCAUCCGGAAAUGUAAUCAUGUCCAUUUCCCGCACCGUUUUUUUUUUUUUGUAAAUAUUAUAAAAAGAUAUCAACAUUUGUUUUUAAAUCACAGUCUAACCUGCAUAUAACGAUUUUAAACAUAAAAGCAC